rnacentral:rRNA from 1 species
UACGGAGGGGGCUAGCGUUGCUCGGAAUCACUGGGCGUAAAGCGCGCGUAGGCGGAUCUUUAAGUCAGGGGUGAAAUCCCGGGGCUCAACCUCGGAACUGCCUUUGAUACUGGGGGUCUUGAGUUUGAGAGAGGUUGGUGGAACUGCGAGUGUAGAGGUGAAAUUCGUAGAUAUUCGCAAGAACACCGAUUGCGAAGGCGGCCAACUGGCUCGACACUGACGCUGAGGCGCGAAAGCGUGGGGAUCAAACAGG